rnacentral:rRNA from 1 species
GGGUCAGUAGGUUGGUCGUGCCACCGGUACGUACUGGUCUCACUGAUUCCUCCUUCCCGAAGAGCCGUAAUGCCAUUAAUUUGGUGUUGCGGGGAAACAGGACUGUUACUUUGAAAAAAUUAGAGUGUUUAAAGCAAGCUAACGCUUGAAUACAUUAGCACGGAAUAAUGAAAUAGGACGAUCGAUCCUAUUUUGUUGGUUUCUAGGAUUGACGUA